GUGUGGCACAGAAAGGGGUUUAGCUCUCUUUUCUCUUUGGUGGGGGAAAUUUUCUCUCGAGGGACUAAACCUUUUUCUGUGCCACAAUUUCCCUUAAGAACAACACACGAGGCUAAUAUAGUAAUGUAACUAGCUAUUUUGAGAAAACAGUCAAGACACAACUUCAAAUUAUAUUUUAUUUUCCUGAAGGAUCACGAGGGACUGAUUCUAAUCCUGGUCCGCCUGUGUUUACACGAUGCUAAUCGAAAUUUUGACCGCUCAAACAUUCGUACCGGAAAUGGUGUUUACACGGAACCAUGCGAAUGUUCACACUGUCCAAAUGGGUCGUACAGCUAGCUGUCUCUUUUUUUUAUCCAGCUAGGAACUCGUAACCGUACAAAAUUUUGAGCGGCCGAAAAUUCGAUGGGCACCGUCUAAUAAGGCACUCAGGAAUCCAUCCAUUCUCUUUUCUUACAGUUUAUCUCCAACACACAUUACUUUAUGUCAGUCAGCAAAGACAAGACCCUAAAGUACUGGGAUGCCGACCAGUUUGAGCAGAUCAUGGUAUUACAGACCCACACGACGCGGACCACACGGUCCACGGGUUCCACACACACUUCACGGUAGGACAGGUGCAGUUGGUUGUCCGGGUUUGCGUCUCGGGGGCCGGACACGUGGUUUGCAGACCGCUACAGCUCGGCUUGUUAAUCACGUGAUUUGUGACCGCGCUAGUCCUGCGUCGAGUGACUGUGCCACAGGAGCCGGACCAGCUGGACCAGUCAUUCCACGCACACGUCACGUAACGACACGGGCCUACACGCACGAGAUAAAACGAGUUAUAUAUCCACCCACACGUCACGUAACGACACGGGCCUACACGCACGAGAUAAACGAGUUAUAUAUCCACCCACACGUCACGUAACGACACGGGCCUACACGCACGAGAUAAACGAGUUAUAUAUCCACGCACGUCACGUAACGACACGGGCCUACACGCACGAGAUAAACAAGUUAUUUACCCACCCACACGUCACAUAACGACACGGGCCUACACGCACGAGAUAAACAAGUUAUAUACCCACCCACACGUCACAUAACGACACGGGCCUACACGCACGUGAUAAAACGAGUUAUAUAUCCACGCACGUCACGUAACGACACGGGCCUACACGCACGAGAUAAACAAGUUAUAUACCCACCCACACGUCACAUAACGACACGGGCUCACACGCACGUGAUAAAACGAGUUAUAUAUCCACGCACGUCACGUAACGACACGGGCCUACACGCACGAGAUAAAACGAGUUAUAUAUCCACCCACACGUCACGUAACGACACGGGCCUACACGCACGAGAUAAACGAGUUAUAUACCCACCCACACGUCACGUAACGACACGGGCCUACACGCACGAGAUAAACAAGUUAUAUACCCACCCACACGUCACAUAACGACACGGGAUCACACGCACGUGAUAAAACGAGUUAUAUUUCCACCCACACGUCACGUAACGGCGCGGGUCACACGCACGAGAUAAAACUAGUUAUAUAUCCACCCACACGUCACGUAACGACACGGGCCUACACGCACGAGAUAAAACGAGUUAUAUAUCCACCCACACGUCACGUAACGACACGGGCCUACACGCACGAGAUGAUACAAGUUAUAUAUAUAUCCACAUCUCACGUAACGACACGGGCCUAAACGCACGAGAUGAUACAAGUUACAUAUAUCCACAUCUCACGUAACGACAUGGGCCUACACGCACGAGAUAAAACGAGUUAUAUAUCUACCCACACGUCACGUAACGACACGGGCCUACACGCACGAAAGGUACAAGUUAUAUAUAUAUAUCCACAUCUCACGUAACGACAUGGGCCUACACGCAAGAGAUAAAACUAGUUAUAUAUCUACCCACACGUCACGUAACGACACGGGCCUACACGCACGAGAUAAAACGAGUUAUAUAU